rnacentral:rRNA from 1 species
UGAGAUGAACCCUAAAAAGUCCUAAAAACACAAAGGCUUGGUCCUGGCCUUAAAAUCAAUUUUUACUUAACUUACACAUGCAAGCCUCCACACCCCCGUGAAAACGCCCUUAAACCCCUUCAGGGGUAAGGAGCUGGAAUCAGGCACAAUAAUUUGCCCAAGACACCUAGCUAUGCCACACCCACAAGGGUCAACAGCAGUGAUUAAUAUUAAAUAUAAACGUCAGUUUGACUUAGUCAAAGUAAAAAGAGCCGGCAAAACUGGUGCCAGCCGCCGCGGUUACACCACGAGACUCAAAUUGAUUUUCAUCGGCGUAAAGCGUGAUUAAAGCCUUUAAUAUUCUAGGGCUAAAACUGAACUAAGCUGUGAUAUGCUUGUUUCUAAAAACUCACACACGAAAGUUGCCCUAACUCGACCCACUUGAACUCACGAUACCUGGGGCCCAAACUGGGAUUAGAUACCCCACUAUGCCCAGGCUUAAACUUUAAAUUACACCUCUCUUCGCCAGGGAACUACGAGCAACGCUUAAAACCCAAAGGACUUGACGGUACCCCAUACCCACCUAGAGGAGCCUGUCCUAUAAUUGAUGACCCCCGCUAUACCUUACCACUUUUUGCCUUUCAGCUUGUAUACUUCCGUCUUCAGCUUACCCCGUGAGCGCAACUCAGUGAGCUUAAUGCCAACUUCGACAAUACGNCAGGUCAAAGUGCAGNUAAUAAAGNGGAAAGAGAUGGGCUACACUCUCUAACCUAGAGAAAACGAAA